GACGAACGCUGGCGGCGUGCUUAACACAUGCAAGUCGAGCGGUAAGGCCCUUUCGGGGGUACGACGAGCGGCGAACGGGUGAGUAACACGUGGGUGACCUGCCCUCAGCUCUGGGAUAAGCCUGGGAAACUGGGUCUAAUACCGGAUAUGACUCCAUGACGCAUGUUGUGGGGUGGAAAGCCUUGUGCGGCUGAGGAUGGGCCCGCGGCCUAUCAGCUUGUUGGUGGGGGAUGGCCUACCAAGGCGACGACGGGUAGCCGGCCUGAGAGGGCGACCGGCCACACUGGGACUGAGACACGGCCCAGACUCCUACGGGAGGCAGCAGUGGGGAAUCUUGCGCAAUGGGCGAAAGCCUGACGCAGCGACGCCGCGUGAGGGAUGACGGCCUGGUGUAAC
rnacentral:rRNA from 1 species